CAGUAAGAGUUACUAAAAUGUAUUUAUUAAUUAUUGAAAUUUAUUAGAUUAUUCCAGAGACGGCUGUUGAAAGUUACGGACAAGGUGAAUAUUAUGUGGAGUGCCCGAGUCUGCAAGCCGACGAGAAUAAGUAUAAAGAGCGAAGAUAAGGAAAAAUAUCCGUGUACUGGCAAAAUUAUCUUGUAACAUCGAACGUCGGUUUAAAAGAUCACGAAAACACAUCACGCAUCACGAAGCCCCAAAUUAAAUGAUAAUGAAUGUUAAAUUAGUUGAGGAGAUGAGGUAUUGGCUUGAGAGUGUGCAGUGGGCUUCUGCACGAACGAGUCGAGGAGCUGGAAUAAAAAAAAUAAAAAUAAAAAUAAAAAACAGCGGAUUGAGGAAUAAGUAAUAUCAGGCGCAAGCAGCAGUCACGCGUCUCAAGGUCAGAGAUUUUCGAAACUGACGUACCACGGUGGUGAUUAUGACACGGGCGUGUGUGCAUCGCCAUCAACGGCACCCGGCAUAUCCAGCAUGGCAGCUGCAAGAACACACUUGUCGUGUGCCAGAUGAUCUUUCGAAAGUCGCCUCCCUUCUACGCCAGCUAACUUGUAUUACGUUAGAAAUUAUUUUCUUCGAUCGCUCCGAAUUCAAUCGAGGAUUUUUAAAAUGAUUUAUUGAACGUGUCCGAGAACAAUACCCGAGGGUUUAUUUCCAAAAUUAUGCUGCAAAGUAUCCUGUGAAAUAAAGGGAGGAUGGAUGAUCGAGGAUUAAUGGUGAGACUUUUGCCGAAGUGACAAAUUUUAUGCAUGGAAAAUUUCAAGGUAAAUAUAAUAUUGUAAUAUUCUUACCGAUAUUAGUUAUA